rnacentral:rRNA from 1 species
GCGGAGGGAUCAUUGCUGGAACGCGCCUCGGCGCACCCAGAAACCCUUUGUGAACUUAUACCCAUACUGUUGCCUCGGCGCAGGCCGGCCCCUCUCAUCAGGGGCCCCCUGGAGACAGGGAGCAGCCCGCCGGCGGCCAACCAAACUCUGUUUCUAUAGUGAAUCUCUGAGUAAAAAACAUAAAUGAAUCAAAACUUUCAACAACGGAUCUCUUGGUUCUGGCAUCGAUGAAGAACGCAGCGAAAUGCGAUAAGUAAUGUGAAUUGCAGAAUUCAGUGAAUCAUCGAAUCUUUGAACGCACAUUGCGCCCUCUGGUAUUCCGGAGGGCAUGCCUGUUCGAGCGUCAUUUCAACCCUCAAGCCUGGCUUGGUGAUGGGGCACUGCCUGUGAAAGGGCAGGCCCUGAAAUCUAGUGGCGAGCUCGCCAGGACCCCGAGCGUAGUAGUUUAUAUCUCGCUCUGGAAGGCCCUGGCGGUGCCCUGCCGUUAAACCCCCAACUUCUGAAAAUUUGACCUCGGAUCAGGUAGGAAUACCCGCUGAACUUAAGCAUA